ACGAUCUCCUCCUCUGAACCACUUCCUGCCUCUCUGGUUAAUCUCCACAUCCACCGGCCUCCCUCUAAGAGCUGCUUCGUGGACGAGAUCCUGCGUGAGGAGGCCGUGGACGAAGCAGCCACACGGAGGAGUAGGAGUAGGCUUGGAGUUGCGCCAGCGAUUGAGGCGACUAGGGUUGCCCCGGGAGUUCUGCAUAGGGGCAGAAUGGUGUCGCGGCGGGUGGGGAAUCAAUGGAAGAGACCGAUUGGGUGCAGUGUCCGUGGGCAGCAGUGUGUGAGGAGUUCAGAACUGGCAGGAAUCGUCGCGAUGACCGCGGUGUCGGUGGCUAUUCGGCGGAGGAGGCAGCCGUUGUGCCAUGUCGGCGAGAAGCAUGCAGCAGCGGACCCGGCGAGGAUGGAGACAGCGGCGAAACCAGCGACUGCGCGUGCGAUAGUGCAGGCCGCCAUGUACGGCAGCGGCCGCGGAAGGGAGAGAUUGGAUAGCAAGAUCCCCGUCAAGAUACAGUCCGAAAUCUUCAGCACAGUAUCUGUCCCGAGAGGCAUGCGACAUAGGAUGUAUAUGGCGUGAUCACAAACCAGAUUGCUACAGACUCCCAGUGGUAAAUAUAAUCACUUCACUGUAUUAUUAGCUCCAGAUUAAUUACUUCAACAGAAGAAAAUCUCAGAUUAGUACUUACAGCCACCUUCCUUGAUUUAAAUGGGAAUUUGAAUUGUUAUCACAAGAUUGGUUUUUGGAAUGGAACAAAUGAAUCGUAGACCAGAAUGUGAUAGAAAUGGUAGAACAGAUGGACAGAAAAGCUGUGCACUGACUCCCAUCCCCAACAAAAAAGAGUUAUUGUGUUAAUCGGAAAGAAACUCUACAACUUACAAUUUCUCUUGAACAGCAUUACAAAUAUAUCCAGAAAGAUAUUAUAGCAUUCGCCCGGGAGACCAAGAUGCAAAGUGUCAAGAAGCAGUGUAAUAUAAAAAGCACAUCAUUUGUCUGAGCUAGCACUUACUGAGAAGAUAUUCGUGCAAACAGCAAAAUCUGACAUCCAGCAACAGGUAAGGGAGCCUGAAAGAGAGAUGAAAUGAAGUAUUCAAACUAAUGAAGCAGACAGUCUGCAUCGAGGCUGAAUGUCUACGGAAAGAGGAAUUACACUGACUGUUCCAGUUCCUAGAGUGCUUUGUUAGAGCCAAGGAGAAGGAUCCCUUAGAGAGGGAGAAAAGAGGCAUGUGACAUGGCUCCGCAAAGAGACAUAAUUGACAUGUAAUACGCCAAGGAAAGCAUCGAAAUAAAGAGAUGACACAGAAACAUUGUAUUUAAUUAGGCCAUCUAUUGAGGAAUAUACAUACAUGUUUCCAGUACUGAAACUCACUUUGUCGAUUUUGUAAUGUAUCAAAUUGAUGUUAGCGAACAUGGUACUUUGCUACAGGAUCUCAUUGCACCUAA